UUUUUUUGUAUGUACUAUUUAACGUACGGAUACAAGCCUGACGUGGGAACUGUGGAGCGUGCACAGAGGCAAGUUACAAGUACAUUUGUGAUGUAUAGCUAAAGAAGAAAAUUUAUCCUUCAUGGUAUUAUUUCAGUAUUAUGUCAGUCCUAACAGUGAGAAAUUCAAUUUAGCGUAGUUGUAGUCAAACCAAAGUUUUUACAUGUAUUAAAAAAAAAGUCAAUUUUCAGUCAACAGUGACUGAAAAUUCAUUUUUUCUUUGACAUCAUGUAACAUACUGAUUUUAACAUAUUGUUUGUCCAUUUUUUUUUCAGAACUGGAAGAAAAAAAACACAAAAACUUCCACAUGAAGGAACCACAGCAUCAGUGAAGAUUACAGAGGAGAAUCCAAUCGCAAGAUAUUUUCUAGCCUAAAUUUUUCCAAAAAAAGCACAGAAAGAUCCUCCACUUAUGAAAAGAUACUUCGAUAAUAAAAGGUUUUGUGAUAACAUCACUUCAGAGAUUAAAAGAAAAAUAAGACAUCAUUGUAUUGUUGCAAGUGUUAUUUAAAAGUGUAUUUAUCAAUAAUUCACCCUCAGCAUAUGGUAACUUAUGGGUUAACAUGAUGCAUGCACAUGUGAAUCUUUGCAUGUGUGCUCAAUGAGAAGCCUGACAAAAUGAAAGGCGGCGAGUGGAGCAGGGUUCAGCACGGGCCAGACCUCCAGCCCUAAUCAGGUUACAUGAUUAAUGAGGGGGGGAAAUGGGCUCAUGUUGUAUUAAGAAAAUGUGUGUUUGAACCCAAAGCGGUGGGUAUCAGCAGCCUAAUGCAUCAGCCAUCGACUGGACACCUGAGAUCCACGCUCUGCUGCAGGCGCUGUUAGCUUGCUCCCAGCGGAAGGACACUGCAUCGAUUCACCUCAAACUCCCUCUUAUUCGCUCACUUUCUUCCUUUGCCUCUUUUUUCCCCCUCAUUCUGUCUUUUCAUGCAUUUCUUUUUCACCUUCUUUGUUACAUAUAAUUACUCCUUUUCUCCCUCUCUUUUUUGGUAUCUGUAAUCUGUCUUGCUCUUUUUUUCUAUUUGCUUGGUUUGCAGAAAUCACACAAAAGCAUCAGUGUUUUUCUUUUCAGUGUGAUUUAACUUCAAUACUUGCUAGGGAGCGAUGGCCAGCACUCAACCCUCACAACCCAAACAUCAAACUGUCAUUUAAUCUUUGGUACUCGAGGCUUGUAUGAUAUAUUAGCAAGCACUGAAUGAACGUGCAGACGCAACAGGACUUCUUUCUGGCCUGAUUUCCAUGACAGGACAAGGGUUUAUUCAUUAUUCAUGUCCUCAAGUUUCCACUAAAAAAGUAUUUAAAAACUCAUUUGAAGGUUCUGAUGUCAAAACAAGAUUUCCUUUGUAAGUAGGUGUACAGUUUCAUAUCUGAAGUGAAUUCUGUGUUUUUUGCAGGUCCUUGAAGCUGUCUGUAUUUGGACACUCUCUGGGGAGGUGAGCUGUUUCAUGCACAGUAGCUGCAGCACUCUCACAUUCAGACGCAGGAGCUGAUGACUGAUUAGUCUAGAUUUGAACACAAACAAACCUGAUCCUCGCUCAUUUUCCCCUGAAACAAUAUGCAGUUUUUUAUCUUAUCAACAGCAGUAAUCAUGGCAAAAUAAAUUAGAGAGUUACAUUAAUAUGUUGGAGUUGAUUCCAGCUUGUGCUGCUGAAUUAAAAUCCCCUGAACCUCAAACAGCCUGUUCUGUACAGCACCAAGGAGUGCCUGUCAUUUUAAAACUUCAACCAGUGUAUCAAAACAUCAAAAAUUACUCUUAAGCUAAUAACAAUAAUAAUAAUAAAAAAUCCUACAAACUAUGAUUUCGCAGGUUUCCUCUGUAACUGAAGAAGUUUUGCUGUCUUUAAUUAUUUGUAAAAGUUACAAAAUUAUAUUUGCUGGAGAGAUCCCGACCCCUCAUAUACAUAAAUAUAACAAUAAUAAAGAAAGCAUAGUAUGAUAAGUUUACAUCACAUGAUCUUCUAAGAGGUUAAACAUUAACUAACAACUAUUGUGAUUUCAAUCGUUAAAUUGAUGAAUAAACUUAUCAGAAAAUUAAUUAAAUAUAACUUAAUGGUUCUUAUUUAACCUACAGUUUUAACAUUUAACAUUGUUGUUGUAAUUUGAAAACUUAAUUCAAGUCAUAUUUUUGUCUUGGUUUAAAGACAUCUAGUGUGAAUGUGAGGUGAUUCUUUUAUGUUUUUGAAUUUUUCAAAAAAUUUAUGGGGAUUAUUUUUUGUUGAGAAGAAAGGACAGUGGACAAAAUAAGAGGAUAGAGUCGGGAUUUACAUCUAGUGCAGGGUCACAAGCUGGAGUCCAACCUAGACUGCACACUUCCUGGACCUCAUGUUGUCAUGGACUAAUUAUCAUCAACUUAAUUUUCCAGCGACUGAUUUUGUUGUUUAUUUUUUUGUAGACAGUGUUGACUAAUCAUUGUAUCUCACAUAAGAGGGCUGACAGACUCGGGGGAACUAUGAUCAGGUUGCAGCAACUUUUCACAUCAAACUGGAGAUGUUUUUCUCCUACAAGUUGCAAGUUCUAACCUGUUAAUACGACUUCGUCUGUGUUUGUUUUUGUAGGUUUUUAUGUGAGAUGGGGUUUACAACAUUUCUGGUUUGUUUUGGAGCCUAAAAGAUGUAUUUCUUGUUUUCAGGAAGAAAACAAAAAAACACUUUUGAUCCCAAAAAACUUUUAAAUAUGAGCAAAUUCCCAUAAUCUGGCAUCACUGAAUUUAUUCAUUUACAACUUUUGGUGUUCAGGAAAUAGCUGUUCACCAAGGUGUUUGUUUGAUUCGAUCUUUAGUCAGCAUUUUUUAAGUGCUUGUAUUUGCUGAGUUUCAAAUAAAAAUGAAAAAAAGUUGUACUCAGUUUCUUCCUGCGUUUGAGUUUUAGUUGUUUCGAUUAAGUAGAAAAAUGUUCAUUUGAGUCAAAAUUUAAAAAAAUCUGAUAGUCCUAUAGGGGGUCAAGUAAGCGAGGGAUGAAGGUUAUGGUGAGUGGGAGACCAGAGGGUCACGGGGUCCAUAAAGUAUCCUGCUGGCAGCAUCAGGUGUGUCUCCUCAAAGUGAAAGCUAAUGGUGUUUAGCAGUGUAAACGGUGAAGAAAAUGGAUUGAAAUCAGGACAAAGAUGAAGUUUUUCUCCUUGUGGUGUCGUUUACUCUCUGGCUCAUGUGAAAAUGCCAGAUUAAUGAAUAAUCAGUGUGCAGUCUGUGUUUGCUCUCCUCAACUCAACCAUCAUCUCCAAUGAGAUAGUUUACUCUGAAAAGUUCAGUUACUGACUCUCACAAAGGAGAAGUAUGAGGCGUUCAUUAAAACAAAAUAACCCGCAGCUCUGAGAAUCAAAGCAAUAACGCAGACGGGAUAAAUAAAUAAAUGAAUGAAAUGAUGAUCAUGGAGGAGAGUCAGAGAAACAUUGAAGAGACCGCUAGAAAAACCCUGCAGAUAUGGAAACAAACCUGCAAUAUAUAGACAGACGAUUAGCGUAGCAUGUCAUCAGUAAAGAUGAUUCACUGUCUUAGCGUCUCUCUCUGAUGCACAUAGACAUGAAUGCACACGCACACGCACGAAUACACACAGACUCCCCUUAUGGAUUCUGCAAAUCCAGCAAGGAAAAUAUCUGUGUUUUGAAAGUAUUACCAGUCAUAUUUUCAUAUUUCUUUCCCCCC
rnacentral:lncRNA from 1 species